ensembl:lncRNA
GGGGUGAGCACAGCUGGCACUGUGGCUGUGAGGCUCUGACUGGCUUCAGAUGCAGUGCUGGUACAGGGAGUCCUAGCAUGCAUCUCUUAGGAAAGCACAUAUGCAAGGCUUUACAGUGCUUUAGCUUGAUCUCCCUAAAUGAAGCAUAAGGACUUGGUCCCCUAAGUGUUCAGGAAGGGGAAGAAGUGGAGGACUGGAAAAGAGGUGAUGAAAUCACAUCCAAGUGUCCUAAGGGAUGUGCAUCAGUAUUUCACAUGAAGACAGGACAUGAGCACAGGCUUGUGCAUACAGGGCUGCUGCUGACCAAAAAGCUUGCAGAAUGCUGCAUUAAAAAGGAGCAGAAGGACACGGGUCCAGACUGAAUAAAGGCCUGCCUGGCAUAGUGCCCUCCUGCUGGCAGCAGCCAAAAAAACAACAGGGGAACAGGACAAUACCAACACUUCUCCCAGCCUGCAGCAACCAAGAGACUUCCUGAGACAGAUGCAAUGUCUGCAUGUUUUGGAGCUCUCAACAGAUCUCUCUUCCAUACAUCUUAUGGCAUCUUUUUUCAACCCAUGGGCAAUUUCAUCAUCCACAGCCUUGUUUGACAAGGAUGUCCACAGGCUGGCUGCCAUGCUUUGGGAGCUGAGAGGGAAACUGCAUCAGUACAAGGUACAAAGUCAAGAUGUUCUUCAUUGACCCAAAGCCCAGGUACUAGAAAUACCAGGCUGAUUUGAACCCUAAUUUGUCUCAGCUCAUUCAACCCCCAAAAUUCUGCCAUCUGCACCUCCCUGACCCAAACCAAGGCCUAACCCUGGGCUUAUCCCUGAGCCUCUCCCAGCCAUGGGUGGCACCAGUCCUUCGCUCAGCACCAUGUCUCACUGGGCACGUGUAUGACCUUACACCUCCAAGCUGGGCCGUGUCAUCGAUGCUAAUCAGUGUCAUGGUAAAAGAACACCCGAAGUGUAUGAACCAUGAAAUAUUCCCUCCUGUCCUUCUUGAGGGCUCUGGCUAUCCCUGCCAGCAGUGGCAGAAAGUUGUCUCACAGUGGGAUUUUAAAAAUCCCCAUUUUAAAGCUAAACUAAGUGCAAUGCAGAGCUCGCGGCAUCACCUUUUUUUGCCUCAGCACCUAUGAACAACCCUUCAGUUUGUCUCUCUUCCAGCUCAGCAGACCCUUCUUGUCUCCUUCUGCCCUAAUUCUGCUGUUUUUUUCUUCUUUUUCACUCCCACAGCAACCUCUUACAGUCUGGACUGAUUCUCCGAGCACCAGCAGGUGUUCCAUAUGUGAGAGCAGAAAUUACAUCUUGUACUGCUGUUUUCUCCCUGCAGACACGUUGCCUUUGGGGAAGGGGAUGGUGUGAGCAGAGCUGUGUUCAGCCACUGGACAUGUGCGUGACUCAUCACUGUUUUUAUCUUUGUACCUCCUAGACUGAGGCCUGGCUGUCCUGCCAUUGCAUCCCUCCUGCUGUCUCGCCCCAGCUAAGACAGUUUCUCUUUCCCCUUCUGCCAAGCAGUGGGACUUGGUUAUGCUCCUGUAAAAAUAAGAAUUGCCUGGAGGUGCGAUACCUCCAUGCUGCCCAGGAAUCACAGGGACACUGCAUCUCAGCUUCCGUCUUGAGAACUUCAUGUCUCUGAUUCAGAAUAAUAGCUGAAUAAACACUGCUCUGUUUGGGAUUUCUCACCCACGCCCCCUGCCUUGGCCUGAAGCAGACCCAUUUCCUGAGUUCCUUCUCAGGGUUUCACAGGGUCUCGAGGGAACACCUGUGUGAGUUGCAGCGCAGACUUCAUUUGCUCUGACCACUGUCUUGCUCUACAGGCACCACGGUCCUGAGCAAAAGGAGGAUAAUUAUAUAGCUGCAAAUGGCCAUGUCUCGCUUUCAAGAAGGGUAAUUAAACAUCUGAAGGCCACAGACUGGGAUUAAUGACAAGAGGGCCCAAACAGAAGAUGUGGGGAUGGUGGCACCAGCUAGAUGAAAUGCUGAUCCUCUGGCUGCUAAGGAAGCACAGAAAGCUGUCUUGGUGCUGUGCUGAUGUUUCUGAAACUUGAGAGAGAGGUUUUGAGAUGCUGAGAUUUUGAAAUUAUAUUAAGUGCUGGAUGUUAAGGGGUAAUUACAGAAAAAGAAAAACAAGCAAAAUGAACAGU